rnacentral:rRNA from 1 species
AUUGAACGCUGGCGGCAGGCCUUACACAUGCAAGUCGAGCGAGUGGCGGACGGGUGAGUAAUGUCUGGGAACCUGCCCGAUGGAGGGGGAUAACUACUGGAAACGGUAGCUAAUACCGCAUACCAUCGGAUGUGCCCAGAUGGGAUUAGCUAGUAGGUGGGGUAACGGCUCACCUAGGCGACGAUCCCUAGCUGGUCUGAGAGGAUGACAAGCCACACUGGAACGGAGACACGGUCCAGACGCCGACGGGAGGCAGCAGUGGGGAAUAUUGCACAAUGGGCGCAAGCCUGAUGCAGCCAUGCCGCGUGUAUGAAGAAGGCCUUAGGGUUGUAAAGUACUUUCAGCGGGGAGGCGUUACUCGAAGAAGAAGCACCGGCUAACUCCGUGCCAGCAGCCGCGGUAAUAC